GGGAUUACAGACAUGAGCCACCGCAGCUGGCCAAGUGUUCUUUCUCAGCCUCCCUCCCUUUAUUCCUUUGUCAUUCCCUCAAGCAAUUUCCAGAGCCUCCUGUGUGUGGGGCUCUGGGCUAAGGCUCUAGGAACGAGUAAGACCUUGCCUGUCCUCAAGGGGUUCCUCCAUCGGUGAUCUACAUGGGCCGCAACCCCCGGGACGUUGUGGUCUCCCUCUAUCAUUACUCCAAGAUCGCCGGGCAGUUAAAGGACCCGGGCACACCCGACCAGUUCCUGAGGGACUUCCUCAAAGGCGAAGUGCAGUUUGGCUCCUGGUUCGACCACAUUAAGGGCUGGCUUCGGAUGAAGGGCAAAGACAACUUCCUAUUUAUCACCUACGAGGAGCUGCAGCAGGACUUACAGGGCUCCGUGGAGCGCAUCUGUGGGUUCCUGGGCCGUCCGCUGGGCAAGGAGGCACUGGGCUCCGUCGUGGCACACUCAACCUUUGGCGCCAUGAAGGCCAACACCAUGUCCAACUACACACUGCUGCCUCCCAGCCUGCUGGACCACCGUCGCGGGGCCUUCCUCCGGAAAGGGGUCUGCGGCGACUGGAAGAACCACUUCACGGUGGCCCAGAGCGAAGCCUUCGAUCGUGUCUACCGCAAGCAGAUGUGGGGGAUGCCGACCUUCCCCUGGGAUGAAGACCCGGAGGACGGCAGCCCAGACCCUGCG
rnacentral:sRNA from 1 species